rnacentral:rRNA from 1 species
CCUACGGGAGGCAGCAGUGAGGAAUUUUCCGCAAUGGGCGAAAGCCUGACGGAGCAAUACCGCGUGAGGGAUGAAGGAUUUUGGUCUGUAAACCUCUUUUCUCAAGAAAGAAGUUCUGACGGUACUUGAGGAAUAAGCAUCGGCUAACUCCGUGCCAGCAGCCGCGGUAAUACGGGGGAUGCAAGCGUUAUCCGGAAUGAUUGGGCGUAAAGCGCCUGUAGGUUGUUUAUUAAGUCCGUUGUUAAAGCCUAGGGCUCAACCCUAGAAAAGCAAUGGAAACUAGUAGACUAGAGUAUGGCAGGGGUAGAGGGAAUUUCUAGUGUAGCGGUGAAAUGCGUAGAUAUUAGAAAGAACACCGGUGGCGAAAGCGCUCUACUGGACCAUUACUGACACUCAGAGGCGAAAGCUAGGGUAGCAAAAGGGAUUAGAUACCCCUGUAGUCCUAGCCGUAAACGAUGGAUACUAGAUGUUGUGCAUUAUGUACAGUAUACGUAGUACUACGUACGUUAAGUAGUCCGUCCGUCGGGUAGGUACGUCGUCGCGAGGUAGGAACGUACGAAAGAAAGUUAGUACGGCGUGAGUAACGUGCCGACGGACGACGACGAGGGGAGGUUAGG